GAUGAACGCUGGCGGCGUGCCUAAUACAUGCAAGUCGAGCGAACAGACGAGGAGCUUGCUCCUCUGACGUUAGCGGCGGACGGGUGAGUAACACGUGGAUAACCUACCUAUAAGACUGGGAUAACUUCGGGAAACCGGAGCUAAUACCGGAUAAUAUAUUGAACCGCAUGGUUCAAUAGUGAAAGACGGUUUUGCUGUCACUUAUAGAUGGAUCCGCGCCGCAUUAGCUAGUUGGUAAGGUAACGGCUUACCAAGGCAACGAUGCGUAGCCGAUCUGAGAGGGUGAUCGGCCACACUGGAACUGAGACACGGCCCAGACUCCUACGGGAGGCAGCAGUAGGGAAUCUUCCGCAAUGGGCGAAAGCCUGACGGAGCAACGCCGCGUGAGUGAUGAAGGUCUUCGGAUCGUAAAACUCUGUUAUUAGGGAAGAACAAAUGUGUAAGUAACUAUGCACGUCUUGACGGUACCUAAUCAGAAAGCCACGGCUAACUACGUG
rnacentral:rRNA from 1 species